AUUCAGCUGACGAGUUCCAAAUAGGACGAAACGUGCAUCCUGGAU
rfam:Trichobilharzia regenti genome assembly, scaffold: TRE_scaffold0002323